GCUGGGCAUGGUGAUGCAUGCCUGUAAUCCCAGCAGCUCAGGAGGCUGAGGCAGGAGGAUUGGAAGUUCAAGGCCAGCCUCAGUAACUUAGGGUGCUCUAAGGAACUUAGUGAGACCCUGUCUCUA
rnacentral:sRNA from 1 species